rnacentral:rRNA from 1 species
GCUGGCGGCGUGCCUAAUACAUGCAAGUCGAGCGAACCACUUCGGUGGUUAGCGGCGGACGGUGAGUAACACGUGGGCAACCUGCCUGUAAGACUGGGAUAANUUCGGGAAACCGGAGCUAAUACCGGAUAAUCCUUUUUCUCUCAUGAGGAAAAGCUGAAAGUCGGUUUCGGCUGACACUUACAGAUGGGCCCGCGGCGCAUUAGCUAGUUGGUGAGGUAACGGCUCACCAAGGCGACGAUGCGUAGCCGACCUGAGAGGGUGAUCGGCCACACUGGGACUGAGACACGGCCCAGACUCCUACGGGAGGCAGCAGUAGGGAAUCUUCCACAAUGGACGAAAGUCUGAUGGAGCAACGCCGCGUGAGCGAUGAAGGCCUUCGGGUCGUAAAGCUCUGUUGUUAGGGAAGAACAAGUACCGGAGUAACUGCCGGUACCUUGACGGUACCUAACCAGAAAGCCACGGCUAACUACGUGCCAGCAGCCGCGGUAAUAC